GUGAAGAACACAAGGAGGUAGGAAGAUCUGUAGUCUCAGCUGACUUAGAACAAACUUGUGACUGAGGCGGAGCCUUUGGUGAUGUUUCUCAGGCCUCCUGUGUCACAACCCUCCCGACUUACCUUUGAGAGAACUAACACAAGCAUACAUCUCAAUUAUAUUAAAAGAGCCCUUUGUCUUCCUUAUUGAGUGGGAUUGCAAUCCUUCUAGAAGGUCCAGAGCAAACUUGAUCCUUCUUGAUCCUUCCAGGUGGGAAGCUUAGCGGGUAGCUGGAUCCUUCAGGAAGGUCUGGGAGGGAGUGGGGGAGGCCGGUUCACCCCUCACUUUCUCAGCCCCCGAGGCUGCCUGCCUGUCUUGGUCCACCACGCCACACUUCUUCAAAUUCACGAUGGCAUCUGCUCUCUGCUUCCUCAGUCACAUCUCCUCUGACUCUCCUGCACCCUUUUGCCUUGUGAGAACCUCUGUGGCUACCCUGGGCCCCCUGGGAAAACCCAGGCACUUUCCUCAUCCCAGGGUCCUUACCUCAACAUCUACAAGGUCCCCUCUUUCCACAGGUCACAUGCCCCAGGUUCUCAUAGUUGGUCUUGUGGCAUGUUUUAGUUGGAUUUUUCGCUGCUGUGACUAAAGGACUCAACCAGAACAACUGUAAAGGAGGAAAGGUUUAUUUAGGGCCUCACGGUUCCAGAGGGCUUAGUCCAUGGAAGGCUGGCUCCAUUUGUG
rnacentral:lncRNA from 1 species